rnacentral:rRNA from 1 species
UACGUAGGGGGCUAUCGUUGUCCGGAAUCAUUGGGCGUAAAGAGCGUGUAGGCGGCCCGGUAAGUCCGCUGUAAAAGUCAUAGGCUCAACCUUUGAAUGUCAGUGGAUACUGCCGCGCUAGAGUCCGGAAGAGGCGAGUGGAACUCCUGGUGUAGCGGUGGAAUGCGCAGAUAUCAGGAAGAACACCAACGGCGAAGGCAGCUCGCUGGGACGGUACUGACGCUGAGACGCGAAAGCGUGGGGAGCGAACAGG